rnacentral:misc_RNA from 1 species
UCCGGUUUGUCACCGGCAGUCUCACUAGAGUGCCCAACUUAAUGUGGCAACUAAUGACAAGGGUUGCGCUCGUUGCGGGACUUAACCCAACAUUUCACAACACGAGCUGACGACAGCCAUGCAGCACCUGUCUCCACGUGUAUUGCUACAAAGCCGUAUUUCUACGGUUGUCGUGGGAUGUCAAGCCUAGGUAAGGUUCUGCGCGUUGCUUCGAAUUAAACCACAUAAUCCACCGCUUGUGCGGGCCCCCGUCAAUUCCUUUGAGUUUCAACCUUGCGGUCGUACUCCCCAGGCGGGGUACUUCCUGCGUUAGCGCCGGCACCCAGAGGGUCGCUCCCCCAGGCACCUAGUACCCAUCGUUUACGGCGUGGACUAC